GGGUGGUAAAUUUCAUCUAAAGCUAAAUACUGGUCGGAGAAGAUAGCGCACAAGUAGAGUGAUCGAAAGAUGAAAAGCACUUUGAAAAGAGAGUUAAACAGCAUGUGAAUUGUUGAAAGGGAAGCGCUUGNACCAGAGUCGGCCGCGGGGGUUCAGCGGGCAUUCGUUGCCCGUGCACUCCCCCGUGGCCGGGCCAGCGUCGGUUUCGACGGCCGGUCAAAGGCCCCCGGAAUGUGUCGUCCUCCGGGACGUCUUAUAGCCGGGGGUGCAAUGCGGCCAGUCGGGACCGAGGAACGCGCUUCGGCACGGACGCUGGCUUAAUGGUCGUAAGCGACCCGUCUUGAAACACGGAC
rnacentral:rRNA from 1 species